rnacentral:lncRNA from 1 species
AGACUUGGUUUCAUGUGCUUCAAGAAGAUCUUCCCUUCUUCCCAGAUUUUUUUUUCUUUAUUUUCCCAGAUUUGCAAAAUCUGAGGCAGGUUUUAUUGCAGAAGACCUAUGCUUUUUUGGGAAGCUCAUUUUAAACCUUCAUUCAAUUGGCUCAGCUGAAGUGAGAUCUUGAAUGAUUUUAGACAUUUGGGAAUGGAAGACAAGGUGAUGUGGAGACUAGAGCAUAGCUGCCUCAUUACUCUUGGUCUAGCCCAAGGUGAGAAACCAAAGAAGGAGGCUCAGGGAGAUCUGGAAAUACCAGGGUCAACAUUUAACUCCUUCCCUUCUCAAUAAAUAGGUAAUUAGUCAAGAAUUACCUGAAGAUGCAGAA